rnacentral:lncRNA from 1 species
GAGAUUCUGAAUCUCAAAACCAAUGAAAGUUUCAAAAGUUGAAAAAUUGACUUUCAUCCUUGAAUCCAGUGUACAAGUAAGCUGGUAACUCUCAGACCAAGAUUCAGCACCCCUGAGACUUGAGAAACCGUGAGUCCACUAAGGAGACACAGUCUAGAGGAUGGAUGGAAGGUCUCAUACACAGAUCAAGUCCACAGUUGAGAUUGUUAUUUGCCUCUUCUCUUCUGCCUGGGCACUGCCAAAGAAAAAAGGAGAUUGUAGCAAUUCACUGGACCCAGAACCUAGUUGAGGGAGCAUUGUGACAUGCCACUGGGCUCAGCACCCAGGUGAUGUUCCUCUCCUGCCUGGUCCCUUCCAUCAGGGAAUAUUGUACAAAUCUCUGGCCAAGCACCCAGUUGAUGUGACUCUCCUGCUCACUACCUACUCACAGGUUACAUGUCCCAUGUCGCAGAAAAUGUUGUAAUGUAUUGCUGGACCCAGUCACCAGAUGAUGUGUCUCUCCUGCCAAGGCUGUGCCCACAGAGAGCAUUUUGACAUAUCACUGGGCUCAGCACCCAGGUGAAAUGACUCUGCUGCCUGUACUCUGCUUUAAGAGGGGAUUGUAAUAUAUCUGUGGCUGAGCACCUAGGUGAGAUGACUUCUGCGUGGUUUCUGACCUCAGGAAAGAUUGUGACAUAUCUUUGCCGAAAACCUACAUGAUGUGAAUCUGCUGCUCACUUCCUACCGACAGUCUCCAAAGUUAUCAGAAACCUGCAUUUAAAAAUACCUGGCAAAGUUCCAUAGCGGACCAUAAAUCACCUCUUGAAGAGGAUCGAAUCAAGACAACAAUUGUCUGAGGGAUUGAGACAAUUCUGGAAGCCCAGCACCUAGGUGAUGUGACUUUCAUCUUUUGUUUGGACCGUGUGCACAAAAGGAAGAGUGGCUUAUCACUGGACCUCACACACAGGAGGUAUUGUGACAUAUUCCUGGAGCAAGUACCCAGGUAAUGUAACUCUUUUCUACUGCUUGGACUCUACCCAAGGAGAGAUUCUAAUGUAUCACUGGACCCAGCACCUAGGUUACGUGACUUUCCUCUUGUGUCUGAGUCUUGCAUAAAUUGUGUAUUGUGACAAAUCUCUGGGUCUAAAACCUAGGUGAUGAGACUCUUAUGCAUGAGCCCUGCUUACAGGGAUAUUAUGACAUAUCUUUUUUUUUUAAUCACCUAUGUGAUGUGCCUUUGUUUGUGUGUGUGUGUGUGUGUGCGUCCUGGCCCUGCCAAAAGUGGGGAUUGUAACAUAUCAUUAAACUUAGUACCAAGGUGUUAUGACUCACCUUGUUUGCCUGGGCCCUGCAUAUAUUUGGUAAUGUGACGUAUGGCUGAGACAAACACCUAGGGCAUGAGAGCCUUGUGCCUGGGUCCUGCCCACAAGGAGCCUUUUGGCUUAUCUCUGCAUCCAUGAACUAGGAGAUGUGACUCUUCUUUUCUGUCUGGGUUCUGCAAAAACAAGUGAUUGUGACAUAUCAUCAAACCCAGCAACUAGACGAUGUGAUUUUUCUUCCCUGCUUGAGCCCUGGAUAUGCUGUGCAUUGUGAUAUAUGGCUGGGUCCAACAUCAAGGAGAGAUUGUGACAUAUCUCUGGAACCAGAACCUUGGUGAUGUGACUCUUCUCUCCUGCUGAAGCCAUGCCCACACAAGGGAAAGUGACUUAUCACUGGGCCCAGCACACAGCGCUAUUCACAGGGAAAAUAGUGACACAUCUGUGGGGUUCUCACCGAAAUGAUGUGACUCUCUUGCCUGGGCUCACCUCUCAAGGGAAUUUUGACAUAUUACUGGACCAAGCACCUAGGCCCUGCAUUUAUUGUGUAUUGUGACAUAUGGCUUGGUCCAACACCUAGGUGGUGUGACUCUCUACUUCUUCCUGUGCCAUGCCAAAGAAGAGGAUUGUGACAUAUCACUGGAUCCAGCACCUAGGUCUUUUCCCACAGGGAGCAUUGUGAAAUAUCACUGGGCUCAGCCCCCAGGUUAUGUGACCUUUCUGCCUUGCCCUGCUCCCAGGAAAUGUUGUGACAUCCCUCAUACAGCACCCAGGAUGCAUAUGCCAGAUUUCCAGGCCCAUCACCUAGAUGAUGAGACUCUCCUCUUCUUUCUGGGACCAAUACACAGUGGGAAUUGUGAUGCAUCGUUUAGCUCAGCAGCUACAUGAUGUGACCCUCUUCUCAUGAGAUUCCUGCCCACUUGGGUAAUUGCAACAUAUAAUGUAGCCGAGUUUCUAGGAUACCUGACUCUUCUCUUAUUCCUGAGACUUACACAGAAUCGGCAACAUCUCUGAUCUUCUCACCUAGGAGACAUGACCCAAAAAGGGAUUAUGACAUAUCUCUGAGCCCAACACCCAAAUGUUGUGACUCUCCUGCCUGGGCUGUGCCUAGAGAAAAUAUAAUAUGUCACUGGGCCCUGCAUGCAAGUGAUCUGAUUCUCCAGCCUGGGCCUUGCCCACAGGGGAGAUUGAGACAUAUUCCAGGUGGAUGGUGACUCUAAGACCAGGAUUCAACACAACUAGAAGGCUUUGACUCUAAUACGAGUCACAGAAGGCUCUGCGACUCUUCUAUUUUCUCUAGGUUAUGCAAAUGGAGGUGGAUUGUGACAUAUCAUAGGGCCAACACAACACACAGUCUACAGGUGGAAUUGGGACUCUCAUGCAUGGAUCCAGUUCAUCAUUGAUACUGUGACUCAGGUGGGAUUUUGACAUAUAACUGCACCCAGCACACAGGUGAGAUUGUGACUCUUGUAUGCUCAUCCUGCCAAAAGUUGAGUGUCACCCUCACACAUGGACAGAGACUUCUGUGGUCCAUUACAUUGAUGACAUUAUGCUGAUUGAAUCCAGUAAGCAAGAAAUAGCAAACACACCAGACUUAUUCAUGAGACGUUUGCAUGCCAGAGGAUGGAAAAUAAGUCUGACUAAAAUUUAGAGACCUUCUAGCUCAGUAAAACUUCCAGGGGUCCAGUGGUCCAAGGCCUGUCAAGAUAGUCCUUCUAAGGUAAAAGGUAAGUUGCUGCAUUUGGCCCAUCCUACAACCAAGAAAGAGGCACAAUGUCUAGUGGGCCUAUUUGGGUUUUGGAGGCAACCUAUUCCUCAUUUGGGUGUGUUACUCUGGCCCAUUUAUUGAGUGACCCAAAAAGCUGCCAGUUCUGAGUGUGGUCCAGAAAAGGAGAAGGCUCUGCAACAGGUCCAGGCUGCUGUGCAAGCUGCUCUGCCACUUGGGCCAUAUUACCCAGGAGAUCCAAUGGAUCUUGAGUUGUCAGUGUAAAAUAAGGAUGCUAUUUGUAGCCUUUGGCAGGCCCCCUUAGGUGAAUCACAGCAGAGGCCUCUAGAAUUUUGUUCUUUC